AUUUUCAAUACCAUUUCAUUUAAAAUAAAAUAAAUAAAAAUUAAUUUGUUGAAGGCACCCCCGGCUCACGGGGGCUACAGGGGUGCGUGCCACUGCUUAUAACUAUAAGAAAUCUAAGAUGUAUUUAUUUCACUAUAUACACACACACAAUGUUAAGCACUGGAUGUUGAAAAAUAAAUAAAGUCAGACAGGUUUCAAUGUAGAAAAGUCAUUACAUUUUUUUGUCAAAACCUAUUAUUUGUUCAUCUGAUUAGUUCUUUUGCAAAUAUUCAUUCUGUAAACGUUAUGUAUGGCAGGGUUACAUUUAACACUAUACACAGACUUUGUAACAAAGUUUGUUUUAUGAGUAAGUCAUAAAACCACUAACCUUGUUUUGUUGUCCUGGUCUCAUCUGGCCCACCAGAGGUUGGUUCCCUGGUGCUCACUGUAGGAACUGAUUGAAUAUAUAUGGGUUUUAGAGGCAAUCAUUGAAUCAACUACUUUCAACAUUUUCAUUAAAUAUUUAUUUAUUGAAUGUCACUCUAUUGCACUCUAUUCUAACCAAACCUACAUUACCGAUUCAUAUCAGUAGGUGUCAUUAUUCACUAGCUAGUCAAAAAGACUGACGCCGUGAUGGCUGCCUUUUUCUGUAUUUGUGAAAGUUAUUGCGGUGCUAGAAUCCAUAAAUCUUAUCUUUCUGCAUUAGCCAUCCAUCUGUUAUGGUUAGACAAAUGUGUUCAUAUUGUCUGUGGUGGAAUUUGUAUGUUUUUUACUUUUAAGACAGUGAAAUUUGUGCCACAAAGAUUUGUGAAUAACCACCAGCAGUAGAAAUGCCAUCGUUCGUGGACAAAACUGUCUGACUAACCUUUUCAGGAACUUCAGUAUCCCUUGGCCUUCGGUAGCAGCAGCAGAUCGUUUCAUCCUCUUUAUCCUGUGCCAAACACAUUUAUUUAAUGAGUCUAAAUUAUUAACGUUACCUGCUGGCUGCAUGAUUGUAUCAACCUCGCUAGCUUAUGUUAGCUAGCUAUCUAUCUAGCUAGGCUACUAAAGAUAACAUUAGUAAUUUUGUUAGCUAGCUAUAGAUUGGAUUAGUGUAGCAAGUUUUAGAGGACGACUAAACUGCUUUUAUUAACACAUACAUUGUUUGAUACGAAAAUGUGUGUUCUCUCAUGAGGCAGACAACCAGGCAGGAGAGGAGUGUGAGCGAAGAAAGAAUCUAAGUGCAUAGUCAAAAAACUAGGUGCAAUCAAACAGUUGUUGAGAGGUGUGGGUGAUGAUUCUCUGUAUGCUGUAGCACUGAGACCACUGACUGACAUGUGAAUCUACCUGUCACAGCGAGCGUGGAGGUUACCGUGUGAAAUCCCAGGGACAGGGUUGUAUUCACUAGAAAAAACGAGGCAAGCUGCCUGAAAUUGGGUGAAUGACAUCAUAAAGAAUCAUCUGACUGUCCACAGUAAAGAGCAGUCGUAGAAGAGCCAGGAGAAUCCAUAUUGUGACCAACAAUCACAAAUGCCAUGACAGAAUUGUCUGAUUGUCCCCACCAUGACCCCAACUUUGUAUAUUGUGUAUGCAGAGUUUGUGUAUGCAAGGGUAAAAACAGUUCAAGUUAGGGGUAUGCAGUACCUGAUAUCAUGGGUUGUCUUUUUUAACUGUUUAUUUUAGCAUGUGUAUCAUGCAUCUGGCCUCAAUGUACAGUAGACUGAUUUUUUUUUUUCAUUGUAAAUAGAAACAUCUUUAUGAAAAUCUCUGUAUUUUACUAAGACAAUAUAGACAAGACCAGGAUAUGAUUGAGACUGUAGUGUCAAGUUUUUUUUAGGCUUCUCUGUCAUGUUGGC
rnacentral:lncRNA from 1 species